GUCUCCAAGGUGAAAAGCCUCUAGUUGAUAGAACAAUGUAGAUAAGGGAAGUCGGCAAAAUGGAUCCGUAACUUCGGGAUAAGGAUUGGCUCUAAGGGUCGGGCUCGCUGGGCCUUGGGGGAAACCUCGUGGAGCAGGAAGGCACUAGCCGGGCAACCGGCCGGCGCCAUCCAGCACCGCGUGGGGACGCCCUUGGCAGGCUUCGGCCGUCCGGCGGGCGAUUAACGACCAACUUAGAACUGGUACGGACAAGGGGAAUCUGAC
rnacentral:rRNA from 15 species